rnacentral:miRNA from 1 species
GUAGCACCUUAGAGACCAACUAAGUUUGUUCUUGGUAUGAACUUUUGUGUGCAUGCACACUUCAAAAGCUCAUACCAAGAACAAACUUAGUUGGUUUCUAAGGUGCUAC